CUAAGUUCCUCCUUUUCUUCCGUCUAUUGACGGAACUCUGGGCUCCCGGAUUUGGUGGUUGUGUACGUGGAAGAAGCCCGCGCAUGCGCGGCUCGGGCCUUUUCGUCUCAGCUGUGCGCGAAGGGCUGAGGGUAACGUCCCGGGCUCGGGGGGGAUUGUCAGAGUCAUGGCCCGCCGCUGACCGGGCCCGCCGUUUGAGGAAGGGGGCGAGGCCGUUCCGCAGCACCCCUCCCCGGGCCUCAGGCUGGUCGGCCUGGCCCUCCGCCUUCCCGCUUGGUGCUGCCGCCGCCACUGCCGGCUGAGGAGGGGAGAUGAGUUGGUUCAACGCCUCCCAGCUUUCCAGCUUCGCGAAGCAGGCCCUGUCCCAGGCCCAGAAGUCUAUCGACAGGGUCCUAGAUAUCCAGGAAGAGGAGCCGAGCGCCUGGGCCGAGACCAUUCCGUACGGAGAGCCGGGAAUAAGUCCCCCUGUCAGUGGAGGAUGGGAUACUUCAACCUGGGGGUUAAAAUCAAACAGUGAACCUCAGAGUCAGCCUGUAGCCUCUCCUAAAGCAAUAACAAAGCCAGUUCGGAGAACUGUGGUAGAUGAAUCUGAAAAUUUCUUCAGUGCCUUUCUCUCUCCAACGGAUGUCCAGACCAUUCAGAAGAGUCCAGUGGUAUCAAAACCACCAGCUAAAUCACAACGACCAGAAGAAGAAGUAAAAAGCACUUUACAGGAAUCCUUGCCCACUGGACAGUCAAGAACCUCGGAAACAACGGAGUCACAAGUGAAAGACUCUACUCCAUGUGUAUCAGGGGAAACUCUGGCAGUAGAUACUCCGUCGCCAAAAACUGAGGGCAAGCAUGAAGAAACUGUUAAUAAAGAAUCUGAUACGAAGGUAUCAACUGUACGUUUGAAGGUAUCCGAAAAUGUAAUUAAUGUGAAAACAACUAGGGAAAACAUACCUAAUAUGUCGACUGCAGAAACAAAGGACGUGGCUUUGGAACCUAAGGAACAAAAACAUGAAGACAGACAGAGUAACACACCUUCUCCUCCAGUUAGUACCUUCUCGUCUGGUACUUCUACCACCAGUGACAUUGAAGUCUUAGAUCAUGAAAGUGUAAUAAGUGAGAGCUCAGCAAGUUCGAGACAAGAGACUACAGAUUCAAAAUCAAGUCUUCACUUGAUGCAGACAUCUUUUCAGCUUCUCUCAGCAUCUGCUUGUCCUGAAUAUAAUCGUUUAGAUGAUUUCCAGAAACUCACUGAGAGUUGCUGUUCAUCUGAUGCUUUUGAAAGAAUAGACUCGUUUAGUGUGCAGUCAUUAGAUAGUCGUAGUGUAAGUGAAAUCAAUUCAGAUGAUGAACUGUCAGGCAAGGGAUAUGCUUUAGUACCUAUUAUAGUUAAUCCUUCAACUCCAAAGACUAAAGUAAUUGAAUCUGUUGAAGGAAAAUCUGAAGAAGAAGUAAAUGAAACAUUAAUUAUACCCACUGAAGAAACAGAAAUGGAAGAAAGUGGACGAAGUGCAACACCUGUUAAUUGUGAACAGCCUGAUAUCUUGGUUUCUUCUACACCAGUAAGUGAAGGACAUACUGUCUCAGACAAAGUGGCCGAGCCGCAUGAAACUGCUGAAAGUAAGCCAGAAGCACAUUCUGAGAAGGAAGAUGUUUGCAAGAGAGUCGAAUUUCUGAAUGAGAAACUGGAUAAAAGGGAGGCUCAGUUAUUAUCUCUUAGUAAAGAAAAAGCACUUCUAGAAGAAGCCUAUGAUAAUCUGAAAGAUGAAAUGUUUAGAGUGAAAGAAGAAAGCAGCAGCAUUUCUUCCUUGAAAGAUGAAUUUACUCAAAGAAUUGCAGAAGCAGAAAAGAAAGUUCAGCUAGCCUGUAAAGAGAGAGAUGCUGCUAAAAAGGAAAUCAAAAGUAUAAAAGAAGAACUUGCUACUAGAUUAAAUAGUAGUGAAACUUCAGAACUUUUGAAAGAGAAAGAUGAGCAGAUCCGAGGGUUAAUGGAAGAAGGAGAAAAACUUUCAAAACAGCAGCUGCAUAAUUCUAACAUUAUUAAGAAAUUAAGAGCUAAAGACAAAGAAAAUGAAAAUAUUAUUGCAAAACUGAACAAAAAAGUUAAAGAGCUAGAAGAAGAGUUGCAACAUUUAAAACAGGUCCUUGAUGGCAAAGAAGAGGUUGAGAAACAACAUAGAGAAAACAUUAAAAAACUAAAUUCUUUGGUAGAACGCCAAGAGAAGGAUCUUGGCCGACUUCAGGUAGACAUGGAUGAACUUGAAGAAAAGAACCGAAGUAUUCAAGCUGCUCUGGAUAGUGCAUACAAAGAACUUACUGAUCUCCACAAAGCCAAUGCUGCAAAAGAUAGCGAGGCACAGGAAGCUGCUCUGAGUCGUGAAAUGAAAGCCAAAGAAGAACUUUCAGCAGCACUAGAGAAGGCCCAAGAAGAAGCCCGUCAGCAGCAAGAAACGUUAGCGAUUCAAGUGGGAGACCUCAGGCUGGCACUGCAACGUGCAGAGCAAGCGGCUGCCAGAAGAGAGGAUUAUUUACGCCAUGAGAUCGGUGAACUCCAGCAGAGACUUCAGGAAGCAGAGAAUCGAAACCAAGAGCUGAGUCAAAGUGUUUCAUCAACAACAAGACCAUUGCUUCGACAGAUAGAAAAUUUGCAAGCAACUCUAGGGUCCCAGACAUCAUCGUGGGAGAAGUUAGAGAAGAAUCUUUCUGAUAGGCUUGGUGAAUCCCAGACCUUGUUGGCAGCAGCAGUUGAAAGAGAACGUGCAGCUACAGAAGAACUCCUUGCCAACAAAAUUCAAAUGUCCUCCAUGGAGUCACAGAAUUCACUCUUAAGGCAGGAAAAUAGUAGAUUUCAGGCCCAGCUAGAAUCAGAGAAAAAUAAGCUAAGAAAACUGGAGGAUGAAAAUAGUAGGUACCAGGUUGAAUUAGAAAACCUAAAAGAUGAAUAUGUAAGAACACUUGAAGAGACAAGGAAAGAAAAGACACUAUUGAAUAGUCAGUUAGAAAUGGAGAAAAUGAAAGUUGAACAAGAAAGGAAGAAAGCAGUUUUCACCCAAGAAGCAGUAAAAGAAAAGGAACGGAAGCCAUUUUCUGUUUCUAGCACUCCCACAAUGUCACGAUCAAGUUCAAUAAGUGGAGUUGAUAUGGCAGGGCUGCAGACAUCUUUUCUGUCUCAGGAUGAGCCUCAUGAUCAUUCAUUUGGACCAAUGUCUGUAUCAGCAAAUGGAAACAAUCUUUAUGAUGCUGUAAGAAUGGGAGCAGGAUCCAGCAUUAUUGAAAAUCUACAGUCUCAGCUAAAGCUGAGGGAAGGAGAAAUUACUCAUUUACAGCUGGAAAUUGGCAAUCUAGAAAAAACCCGCUCAAUAAUGGCUGAAGAGCUGGUUAAAUUGACUAAUCAAAAUGAUGAACUUGAAGAGAAAGUGAAGGAGAUACCCAAACUUCGAACUCAGCUAAGAGAUUUGGAUCAGAGAUACAACACUAUUCUGCAGAUGUAUGGAGAGAAAGCAGAAGAGGCAGAAGAACUUCGAUUAGAUCUUGAAGAUGUAAAAAAUAUGUAUAAGACUCAAAUAGAUGAACUUUUAAGACAAAGACUCAGUUAACUUCUAAAAAUUACAUUCCCAUCAAACUGAAUGUAAACAUUUAGUAUCUAAAAUGUAGACUUCCAAUAAAUUCUUUUAUAGAAUUAGAAAGUGGAAUUUACUGUAGAGUUCAAAAACUGAAAAAAAUUUGUUUUAUAGUAUAUAGUAAUAAUUGCAAUUAAAUUAUUUUGUGCAAUAUUUGAACUUUAUUUUUGAAACUAUUCUUUAAAGAUUUAUUUUUUAAAGCAUCCUUUUUUUUUCUUUUUCUUUUUUUUUUUUUUUUUUUUUGUCUUGAAAGCACAGAGAUUAACUACUUUUCCUCAUAUCAAUAUGGUUAGGGAAAGAGAAUGGUGUUCAUAUGGUGUUCAUAUGUGGUAUUGUAAAUAUAUUAUUAAUUGUCUCUCUAAUUUAUAUGUGUUUGUAUAUAUUAAGGACAUUUAAAGAGUGGUAUUAACAUACUAAAACUUUUAAAUCUUCCACAAUUCAACAUGUCUAAUUAUUACUUGCUGAAAAUGAACAGGUAAAAAAAAGUCUUCAUGUAAAAAAAAAAAAAAAUUAAACCUGCAAUUACUAAAUUUUGAGCUAAUUUUUUUUUUUUUUUAAGUAGAAGUCACACUGACACUGUCUGAAGUUUAAAGGGUGAAUGAUUUAAACUUAAAAAUUUUUGUGGCCCGUGAAAUUAUUUCACCCAAAUUCUAUAAUUAAGUCUGUGCAAAGUUUACCUUUCUGGUAAAAGCUAUACCUAUUCAGUUAGUUAUAUAGGCAUGAUUGGAUAGUGGAAAAAUUUUUACUUACAAUGAUUUUUUGAUGGUAUCAGUGACAUUUAAGUGAUUUUGAAGAAGUAUUGUUUUACUACCCUAUAAAAUGAAUCAAAAGUGAUAAAAUAAUAACAUAAUUUUCUCUUAAAAAUUAAUGGUUCACAUUUUGUAAAGCCUUAUUUUUUGGCACAUUAAAAAUCAAUGUUUGAUAUUACAGAAUAUUCAUAACAAAAUAGAGAAGUUAUAGGAGUUAAUUUAAAUUUGGCAUUUUGCAGUUCUGUGUAAUUUAUCAUUUUACUUUUUCUCAAAACUUAAUUUAAACACAAAAAUAGUGUGGAAAAAGCUUUAAAAACAGCUAUGCUUUCUUUCAAAUGUUAUUUUGUUUAAAAGUUAACUAGGCUGUGUUUUAGAUUUGUGAUAUAUUUUGAUACAUUUUGUUACUCAAAGUCAUUUUGCUGCCUUUAGGUGGGAAUAAAAACUCGCAUUUAAAAUUUAGUUUAAUUUUAAACACUAGAACUUGGGAGUAUAGCUACAAGCAAGCCAUGUUGAAGAAUUUGGAAUGCUUUUCAGGGCAAUUCAAGUGACCUCAUUUUUAUUCUUUUUGUAUUCCAGACAGUGUUUCUGUCAUGGAUCUCUGAUUUGUAGCACUAAUAAAUACUCUUUCAGUGUGAACCAAACUCAUAAAAUUAAUUUUCUAUAUAUUAGUGGUAAGAAGCAGUGUAAUAGCUUUUUGUCAGCUUGGAUUUUUUUUUUUUUUUUUUUUUUUUUUUUUUUUUUUUUUUUUUUUAAUAUUCAGGGGCUGACAAGGAAUGACAAGACUGAUAGCAAUAAAAAAAUGUACAGAAUUAGAAAAUAUAGGAAACUUAAGUUGCAAAAUUCUGUCAAGCAUUUGAAACUAGAAGUUUAGAAAUUACGAAACUAUUCUUUUAAAAUAUCUAUUAGUGAGAAAAUAAAGUCUUCAGUUGUGGAGAAAAGAUUGAAAUAAAACCUAUACCUUUCAAUUUCAAAAUAGUAAACAUUCUCUUUUCUUAAUUCUUAUUAACAUUAAUAAAAUCAAUUCAACUUAAAAUUUUAAAAGUGUUUUCAAUUUAUUUAACUCAAAAAUGAUAAGCAUUUGUUUAAAGCCUUGGCUGUAUAUUACCCUAUGUUCUUUAUCCAAAAAUUAAUAACGAAUAGUCAUACGUAUUUUAUUAUACACUUAGAUCUCUCAGUACAUUUUUAUAAGUUGAGAAGGUGUAGGGAAUGAGUUUCUUGAAAAAUUCCACUAAGUGGCAGAACACCUAUAGAAUUUUGGUUGCUGUAUUUUGCUGUGUGUCAUUAAAACUUCUCCAUCCAUAUUCUAGUAAGGUAAUGUUUAUAAUAGUUUGCAAUCAGAUGUUUCUAAUCUUGAAAGAAAAUAGAUAUUACAAAUGAUAAUAAUUUCAACAAUAUAAAAAAAGUAGAAGAGGUGUGAACCUUGUUGAUCUGUAGACAGCUCAAUACAGACUAGGUGUUUUUCCAACUCCUGGGAAGCUAAAUUGAGACUACCAUUUCUUUCUUUUUCAUUUCCUCUUUUUUGAGAAGUUCCAGUUGUAUACUCCUUAGCAUAUGGGAAUGUACCGAAUGUAUCUGUAUUAUGAUUUGAGGUAUUCUGAAUAUGAAUAACUUCUGACCUGGGGAAACAUGAGUUUUUGGAGUUAAUUAAGUGAAUUUUUUUUUCGCAUGAUCCCUCAAUUGGCAUUUGAUUUCUUAAUUGAAAAUUUAUGCAGAUGUGUAUUAAAAGUAUAUGAUUUGUAGUAUUUAGAAAAUAUCCACAAGAAAAAAAAAGAAAGUGACUAUAGAUAUCUUUAUCUUGUUUUACUAUUUGUCUAGUAUAUAUACAUUUUUUUCUAGUGUAUCAUAAUUUUUUAUUUUCCUUUAAAAAUCUAAUCGCCCGUAUUUCAUUCAGUUUUACACUGUGACUUUAAUUUCAUAUUUUGUAAAGGGCUAAAAGUAUGAUUUAAACUACAGAUUGACAUAAUAUUUUAAUUCUAAAUGAAAGGUAAUGUAAAUAAGCAUGGAUCUGAUUUUAAUAAAGAUUUUAAAAUAUAAAUAAUUUA